rnacentral:lncRNA from 1 species
AGUUAGACACACUACCAUAGAAGAAUUUGUUUCCUUUAACAGACAACAAAGGAACUGGUGACAUUAGAAAAUGAUAUAGAAAUAGACAAAAAGUUGUCAACAGGAAAAUUGUUCGUGAUUAAAGGUAAUAAAAAACAUUUUAUCAGACACCAUAACAGAAAGGGAAUAACCACAACAAAGUGAUUUUACACUAUUGUUUCAGGUAAGGGUGAAUGUUGGUACAUAUUAAAACGUUUAAACCCGCUUAAUAUAUUUGCACUUGUCCGAAGUACGAACUGUGUAGUGGUUGUCGUCUGUUGAUGUGGUUUUUAAAUGUUUCUCGUUUCCCGUCUUUUAUAUAGAUUAGAUCGUUGGUUUUUCCCGUUUGAAUGGUUUUACACUAGUCAUUGGGAGGGGGCGUUUUUAAAGCUUGAUGUUCGGUGUGAGCCAAGGCUUCGUGUUGAAAACCGUACAUCGUUCAAUCAGUUGACUUGAGGUCUGGAGCUGGCAUGUCAGUAACUGCUAAUUUAUCUAUCAUUGUCAUUCUGUUUUAGUUUCUUUUGUUACCUAUUCUGACAUCGGACACGGACUUCUUUAAAACUGAGCUUUACUGGGCGUAUUGUUUUGUGUUUAUUUUUCUACAUUGGUUAGAGGUAUAGGGGAGGUUUGAGAUCUCAAAAAACAUGUUUAACCCCGACGCAUUUUUGCCCUUGUACCUAGCCAGGCGCCUCUGGCCAGCUUUCUUAGUCUUGUAUGAUUUUUUAUUUUAGUUUCUUUAAUAUAUUUUGGAGUUUAGUUUGACGUCCAUUAUCCCUGAAUUUUGUUUUUGUUUAGGGGCCAGCUUUAGCACGCCUCCGGGUGCGGAAUUUUCUCGCUCCAUUGAAGACCGAUUCCUUGCCUUCGGCUCUUAUCUGCUUUUUGGUCAGAUUGUUGUCUUUUUGACACAUUCUUCCUUCCCAUUUAUAAUCUUAUUUGACCAAUAAUGGUUUACUUUUACAACAUGUGACUUGGAUGGAGAAUUUUCUCAUUGGCACUUAUACCACAUCUUCUUAUAUCUACUAGUUCCGACUAUACAGACAUUAUUAGGAAGAACACUUAACUCUCUCUUCAAGAAAAGC